ACUGCAAAACGUCUUAUCGCUGCUAUUCAUUUAGGAGAGGAAAGUCCGGGCAACACAGAGCGCCAUACUUGCUAACGGCAAGGGGCCGCGAGCGCGAGCAAACGGUUACAGACAGUGCCACAGAAAAUAACCGCCAGCGCAAGUUGGUAAGGGUGAAAAGGUGCGGUAAGAGCGCACCAGCAGGCAGGGCGACUUGCCUGGCUGGGUAAACCUUAUGGGUUGAAAGGCCAAAUAGGCCGGCAGGUUUUGCUCAGGCAAAACAGCAGGUGGCUCGCCUGCUGCCGGCGGGUAGGCUGAUGGAGCCACUUCGCAAGUUGUGGCCUAGAUAAAUGAUAAGAGCCCCGGAAUUUUCGGGGUACAGAACCCGGCUUACAGUUUUGCAGUUACC
rnacentral:RNase_P_RNA from 1 species